rnacentral:rRNA from 1 species
AAGUGGGAUGACGUCAAGUCCUCAUGGCCCUUAUAUCCAGGGCUACACACGUGCUACAAUGGCCGGUACAAAGGGUCGCAAUACCGCAAGGUGGAAGCUAAUCCCAAAAGCCGGUCUCAGUUCGGAUUGGAGUCUGCAACUCGACUCCAUGAAGUCGGAAUCGCUAGUAAUCGCGUAUCAGCAUGACGCGGUGAAUACCGGUUCCCGGGCCUU